rnacentral:rRNA from 1 species
UACAGAGGUCUCAACCGUUGUUCGGAUUCAUUGGGCGUAAAGGGUGCGUAGGCGGCGGGGUAAGUCAGGUGUGAAAUCUCGGGGCUCAACCCCGAAACUGCACUUGAUACUGCCUCGCUUGAGUACUGGAGAGGAGACUGGAAUUUACGGUGUAGCAGUGAAAUGCGUAGAUAUCGUAAGGAAGACCAGUGGCGAAAGGCGAGUCUCUGGACAGUUACUGACGCUGAGGCACGAAGGCCAGGGGAGCAAACGGG